UUUUUAUUGAGAGUUUGAUCCUGGCUCAGGACGAACGCUGGCGGCGUGCCUAACACAUGCAAGUCGAGCGGAGCCAUCCGACGGAUCCCUUCGGGGUGAAGACGGGGAAGCUUAGCGGCGGACGGGUGAGUAACGCGUGAGUAACCUGCCCUUGAGAGGGGAAUAACACACCGAAAGGUGUGCUAAUACCGCAUAACAUAUCUUUGCCGCAUGACAGAGAUAUCAAAGAUUUAUCGCUCAAGGAUGGACUCGCGUCUGAUUAGAUAGUUGGUGGGGUAACGGCUCACCAAGUCGACGAUCAGUAGCCGAACUGAGAGGUUGAUCGGCCACAUUGGGACUGAGACACGGCCC
rnacentral:rRNA from 1 species